rnacentral:misc_RNA from 1 species
GGGCUCCGAUGUAGCGCAUCGUUAUAAAUGUACAUUUCAACUCCACCUCAGAGUAACUUAGUCGCAACUGCCUGCCAUCGAAUAUCCUAGGAUAAACAUGUCAGACCAAUUCUCCAAAUGAACUUGUAUUCUUCCCUAUCAAAGCUACAAUGCCAACUAGCAAUUAUCUCCAAGACUUGAGAAAGAGGGACCCAAGAAACCAUAAAUAGAGAAUGAACAAAAGAUAAAAGCUUCCAUUCAAUUAGAAUAAAGGAAACAACAAAAGAAGAAUGAACAAAAAAAACAGACUAUAAAGUAUCUCCAGGUUCAUUAUGUAUGACAUGACAUAGGUCAAUUCUUCAAUUUGUUUACAUGUGCAACACAAUUCGCCAAAAUACAUGUCUUUUUUACAAUAUUCUCAAAUGUCAAUCUUCAAAAUAUUUUAUAGUGUAGUCCAAAACACACAAAUCCUCUGCAUGGUGGCUUCCUUUUCCCGUGAAAUUCAUACUUUUCAUUACCGCUGCUCUCACAGUUUCCUCUACUUUUAGUAUUACUAUUGUUUAUCUAUGCGUGUAAAUUAUUUGUAUUUAGUUUUUUUUU